rnacentral:rRNA from 1 species
AGCAGCCGCGGUAAUUCCAGCUCCAAUAGCGUAUAUUAAAGUUGUUGCAGUUAAAAGCUCGUAGUUGAAUUUCGGGAUCAAAGGAUCGGUCAUGCCUUGGUAUGUACUGGUUUUAUUGGUUCUCACCUUCUAAAGAACCAUAAUGUCAUUCAUUUGAUGUUAUGGGGAAUUAGGACUGUUACCUUGAAAAAAUUAGAGUGUUUAAAGCAGGCUUACGCUUGAAUACAUUAGCAUGGAAUAAUGAAAUAGGACAUCAGAUUCUAUUUUGUUGGUUUCUAGGAUCGAUGUAAUGAUUAAUAGGGAUAGUUGGGGGCAUUAGUAUUCAAUUGUCAGAGGUGAAAUUCUUGGACUUAUUGAAGACUAACUACUGCGAAAGCAUUUGCCAAGGAUGUUUUCAUUAAUCAAGAACGAAAGUUAGGGGAUCGAAGACGAUCAGAUACCGUCGUAGUCUUAACCAUAAACUAUGCCGACUAGGGAUCGGAUGAUGUUAAUUUUAUAAUGACUCAUUCGGCACCUUACG